GACCCAGUGGCGAAGUGGCAUCGUACCCGAUCACCUUGAGUAAGUAGAGUAGAUUCCGCGGAAGACACGCGUUCGAUUCGGGUCUGGGGCA